CAGCAACAGCAACAUAAGAAACUCCUGGCUGCAAUGCUCUCUCAAGAUUCUUUUGAGUCCACCCACAGCCCUACCCCAUCUGUAACAGAAGAAGAUAUUGAUAAUGAAGAUGAUGCAAUGGAAUUGCUGGGCUUCAAGGAGACAACCUGGAAGAAAGGACAGAAGAGUCACUACCAAUACUCCAUUCUCCAGAUGAAAAAAUCCCAGAUUCAUUUGAUUCCUUGCCUGGGACUGAAGAAGCACUAAUGGAGGAGGGUGAUGAAUUUGAGAAAGCAUCUAAACUAACAGGACCUGAUGAAUCCUUAAAGCAACUGCAGGUAGUUCAUCAACCAUGGAUCUUGCCAAGUGACACAGAAAGUGAAGGAGUGGAAGCAGAACAAGAGAAACGUGAGUAGACGCUAUUGUUUAUUGACAAAUUUCUUUUACCAGAAGGAAAUCCACAAUAAAGCUAUUUCACUUUCAUA
rnacentral:sRNA from 1 species